ACGGGGUAAUGGAUAACGCGUUGGUCUUCUAAUCCAAAGAUCGUGGGUUCAAAUCCUACCUGGAAUG